AAUGAACGUUGGCGGCGUGGAUUAGGCAUGCAAGUCGUACGGGUCGGUGUAGCAAUACAACGGCAAGUGGCGAAAGGGAGAGUAACACGUAGAUACCUACCCUCUGGUCGGGGAUACCGCGGCAUAACCGCAAGUAAUACCCGAUAAAAUCUCCGGAUCAAAGGUGUGAUUCCGCCGGAGGAGGGGUCUGCGUUCUAUCAGCUUGUUGGUGAGGUAAUGGCUCACCAAGGCUAAGACGGAUACGGGGUGUGAGAGCAUGCCCCCGCUCACUGGGACUGAGACACUGCCCAGACACCUACGGGUGGCUGCAGUCGAGAAUCUUCGGAAAUGGGCGCAAGCCUGACCGAGCGACGCCGCGUGCGGGAUGAAGGCCUUCGGGUUGUAAACCGCUGUCGAGGGGAAUGAAGUGUAGGUGGGUACUCCCAUCUAUUUGACAGAUCCCUGGAGGAAGCAUGGGCUAAGUUCGUGCCAGCAGCCGCAGUAAUAC
rnacentral:rRNA from 1 species